ACGGCAGCACGGAGCUUGCUCUGGUGGCGAGUGGCGAACGGGUGAGUAAUAUAUCGGAACGUACCCUGGAGUGGGGGAUAACGUAGCGAAAGUUACGCUAAUACCGCAUACGAUCUAAGGAUGAAAGUGGGGGAUCGCAAGACCUCAUGCUCGUGGAGCGGCCGAUAUCUGAUUAGCUAGUUGGUAGGGUAAAAGCCUACCAAGGCAUCGAUCAGUAGCUGGUCUGAGAGGACGACCAGCCACACUGGAACUGAGACACGGUCCAGACUCCUACGGGAGGCAGCAGUGGGGAAUUUUGGACAAUGGGCGAAAGCCUGAUCCAGCAAUGCCGCGUGAGUGAAGAAGGCCUUCGGGUUGUAAAGCUCUUUUGUCAGGGAAGAAACGGUGAAGGCUAAUAUCCUUUGCUAAUGACGGUACCUGAAGAAUAAGCACCGGCUAACUACGUGCCAGCAGCCGCGGUAAUACGUAGGGUGCAAGCGUUAAUCGGAAUUACUGGGCGUAAAGCGUGCGCAGGCGGUUUUGUAAGUCUGAUGUGAAAUCCCCGGGCUCAACCUGGGAAUUGCAUUGGAGACUGCAAGGCUAGAAUCUGGCAGAGGGGGGUAGAAUUCCACGUGUAGCAGUGAAAUGCGUAGAUAUGUGGAGGAACACCGAUGGCGAAG
rnacentral:rRNA from 1 species